rnacentral:rRNA from 1 species
AUACGUAGGGGGCGAGCGUUGUCCGGAAUGAUUGGGCGUAAAGGGCGCGUAGGCGGCCCGGUAAGUCUGGAGUGAAAGUCCUGUUUUUAAGAUGGGAAUUGCUUUGGAUACUGUCGGGCUUGAGUGCAGGAGAGGUAAGUGGAAUUCCCAGUGUAUCGGUGUAAUGGGUAGAGAUUGGGAGGAACACCAGUGGCGAAGGCUACUUACUGGACUGUAACUGACGCUGAGGCGCGAAAGUGUGGGGAGCAAACAGGAUUAGAUACCCUGGUAGUCCACACUGUAAACGAUGAAUGCUAGGUGUAGGGGGUAUCGACCCCUUCUGUGCCGCAGUCAACACAAUAAGCAUUCCGCCUGGGGAGUACGGCCGCAAGGUUGAAACUCAAAUGAAUUGACGGGG